rnacentral:rRNA from 1 species
CUGGGCGGUGUAUUAGGCAUGCAAGUCGAGCGGAAAGGCCCCGCAAGGGGUACUCGAGCGGCGAAAGGGAUAGGAACACGUGGAUUACCUGCCCUCUGGACUGGGAUAGCCGCGGGAAACCGCGAUUAAUACCAGAUAACGUCUCCGGACCAAAGGUGUGAUUCCGCCGGAGGAGGGGUCCGCGUCCCAUUAGCUAGUUGGUGAGGUAAUGGCCCACCAAGGCAACGAUGGGUAGCGGGUGUGAGAGCACGACCCGCAUCACUGGGACUGAGAUACUGCCCAGACACCUACGGGUGGCUGCAGUCGAGAAUCUUCGGCAAUGGGCGAAAGCCUGACCGAGCGACGCCGCGUGCGGGAUGAAGGCCUUCGGGUUGUAAACCGCUGUCAGUGGGGAGGAAAUGCUGGAGGGUUCUCCCUUCAGUUUGACCUAUCCGCAGAGGAAGUACGGGCUAAGUUCGUGCCAGCAGCCGCGGUAACACGAACCGUACGAACGUUAUUCGGAAUCACUGGGCUUAAAGGGUGCGUAGGCGGCCUGGUAAGUUGGGUGUGAAAUCCCUCGGCUUAACCGAGGAAUUGCGCUCAAAACUGCCAGGCUAGAGGAAGUCAGAGGUGAGUGGAACUUAGGGUGGAGCGGUGAAAUGCGUUGAUAUCCUAAGGAACACCAGUGGCGAAAGCGACUCACUGGGGCUUUUCUGACGCUGAGGCACGAAAGCUAGGGGAGCGAACGGGAUUAGAUACCCCGGUAGUCCUAGCCGUAAACGAUGAGCACUGGAUCGGAGA